rnacentral:lncRNA from 1 species
GGCAGCCCAGGGACCGGCGGGCGGAACGAGCGCCCCGACCGCCCCGCCAGCACCUUGCGUCCCGCGUGGGCGUGUUUGGCUUCGGAAAUCCCGGGUCGUCUCAGGCGCCCGGUCCUUCCCCGGGAAACAAUCGCCGGUCCAGCGCGGAGUUCCCCGCCGCUCGACUCCAGGCGGCUCCCUGGGUUCCCCCAGUCCCUUCCGCAUCCUUCCCGGCGUCUCGGCCGCGCGCCCAGGUGUCCCCGCGCCCCGCGCUGCCCCGCGCCCGGGCCUCCCGGCUCUCCAGCGCUGGGGUCCGCGCUCCCGCCGCGGGUCCAGCCUCUCCUCCCGCCCGGCUCCGCCCAGCCUCCGCCGCGCCGGGGCUCCCGGCCCGGCCUCCCAGUCUCCCUCCCACCUCCGCCCCCCACCCCCGCCCAGAGACUUGCUAUUUUUAGCCAAUCCUCCGCGCGCCGCCACCGGCUCUGCUCACAGCUCGCAGCCGCGCGGCCGCCCUGCCGAACCACCCCCCAACCCCGCGCCGCGGUGGCCGCGGCGGCGGCGGCGGCGCAUCCCGCACAUCGCGUAGCGCGCACCGCGCGCACCCAGCCCGCCCCGCCGCUCCCGCCGCCCUCGCCGCCGUCUCCUCCUCAGGCGCCUGUCGCGGCCGGUGGAUUCUUACCACUGGGCCACCUGGGAAGUCCUAAGCCACUCUUAGUCUGGGUCUCUGUCACACACCAGCAAGGUUCUGCCUAGACCAGCUUCUCGUGGACCAGCAUUGCCAGCUAACAGAAGGCUGUGAGUCUGCAUCUCGGCCCAUCCAUCCUUCUCCUUAUUCCCAUGAUGAGUUCACCAGUGCGGUCCGGUCAGUCUGGUUGCUUUUUAAACUUUAAACAAAUUUAGUAUGAAAGAUGUUGUUUUGUAUUGCUUCAAGUUAGGCAAUUUAAAUUGUGAAAUGACUUUUUUCUCCUGAUGAAGUUUGUUCGAUAUAAUGAAUUUUGAACUGUGUUCUAUAGCCAGUCCUCUAUUGCAUAACCAACUUGCAUUCCAGGCAAUUAAUUUCAUUUGCUUUGUUAUCUGAGCAGUAGACUUUAAUUCUUCUGCUGCAAAUGUAACAUUUGGGGUGAAUUUUAUGAAGUUAUAAAUAUUUAUUAAAUAUGACGUAGGCAUCUAAUUUACAUCCAUAGUCUUUCUGACCAAAUACCUGUCUGUAUGCUUUUUAAACGGUGUCAUGGUCUUUGCAAGUCAGCUUGUGGAUUUACUCCUCUUCCAUCUCUGUGACACACAGGAAGGAUAUUUUUCUUCCCCACCCUUCUUUGCUGCCACUCCUGUUUCCUAUAUACAUAUUUAAUUAUAAUCUCAACACCUGCUUCCUCUGAGUCCAGUUAAUGUGUGGCUCAUCUAGUGUUGUGAUCAGCACAGCCAACACCCGUUUCUCCAGGAAUAGGGUGUCACUUUUGGAACAAACACGAUCCAAAUCUUCAGAAUGAUGGAAUAGCUUCAGAUA